UACGAGGGGGGCAAAUGUUGUUCGGAAUCACUGGGCGUAAAGGGAGCGUAGGCGGGCUUCUAAGUUAGGUGUUUAAUCCCAGGGCCCAACCCUGGUCAGGCACCUAAAACUGGGAGUCUUGAAUAGUGGAGAGGACGAUGGAAUUGGGGGUGUAGCGGUGGAAUGCGUAGAGAUCCGCAAGAACACCAGUUGCGAAGGCGGUCGUCUGGACACAUAUUGACGCUGAGGCUCGAAAGCAUGGGGAGCAAACAGG
rnacentral:rRNA from 1 species